UGGGGAAUAUUGGACAAUGGGGGGGAACCCCUGAUCCAGCCAUGCCGCGUGUGUGAAGAAGGCCUUUUGGUUGUAAAGCACUUUAAGCGAGGAGGAGGCUACCGAGAUUAAUACUCUUGGAUAGUGGACGUUACUCGCAGAAUAAGCACCGGCUAACUCUGUGCCAG
rnacentral:rRNA from 1 species